rnacentral:rRNA from 1 species
AUUGAACGCUGGCGGCAGGCCUAACACAUGCAAGUCGAGCGGAUGAAGGGAGCUUGCUCCUGGAUUCAGCGGCGGACGGGUGAGUAAUGCCUAGGAAUCUGCCUGGUAGUGGGGGAUAACGUCCGGAAACGGGCGCUAAUACCGCAUACGUCCUGAGGGAGAAAGUGGGGGAUCUUCGGACCUCACGCUAUCUGAUGAGCCUAGGUCGGAUUAGCUAGUUGGUGGGGUAAAGGCCUACCAAGGCGACGAUCCGUAACUGGUCUGAGAGGAUGAUCAGUCACACUGGAACUGAGACACGGUCCAGACUCCUACGGGAGGCAGCAGUGGGGAAUAUUGGACAAUGGGCGAAAGCCUUAUCCAGCCAUGCCGCGUGUGUGAAGAAGGUCUUCGGAUUGUAAAGCACUUUAAGUUGGGAGGAAGGGCAGUAAGUUAAUACCUUGCUGUUUUGACGUUACCAACAGAAUAAGCACCGGCUAACUUCGUG